UGAUCGUUGGGCGCGGCGGAGGCCGACGAACCUGGUCAGGGGGGAAACCCAGCAGCCAUAAGUUGUAACCUACGGGUGCGUCCAGCGGUCAUUU
rnacentral:SRP_RNA from 1 species